GCCCGGUUGGCUCAGUCGGUAGAGCGUGUGACUCUUACUUUGUGCCUGGCCACAGUCAGUCACAGAUAAGUUAUCUCAAGGUCGCGAGUUCGAGCCUCGCAUUGGGCU